rnacentral:rRNA from 1 species
GAUGAACGCUGGCGGCGUGCCUAAUACAUGCAAGUCGAGCGAACGGACGAGAAGCUUGCUUCUCUGAUGUUAGCGGCGGACGGGUGAGUAACACGUGGAUAACCAACCUAUAAGACUGGGAUAACUUCGGUAAACCGGAGCUAAUACCGGAUAAUAUUUUGAAUCGCAUGGUUCAAAAGUAAAAGACGGUCUUGCUGUCACUUAUAGAUGGAUCCGUGCUGCAUUAGCUAGUUGGUAAGGUAACGGCUUAACAAGGCAACGAUACAUAGCCGACCUGAGAGGGUGGUAGGCCACACUGGAACUGAACCACGGACCAGACUAAUACCGGAGGCAGCAGUAGGGAAUCUUCCACAAUUGGCGAAAGCAUGACGGGGCAAAGCCGCGUGAGUGAUGAAGGGCUUCAGAUCGUAAAUCUAUGUUAUUAGGGAACAACAUAUGUGUAAGUAACUGUGCACAUCUUGACGGUACCUAAUCAGAAAGCCACGGCUAACUACGUG